CUGCGGCAGCGACGCUGAUGCGUUGUUGGGUAGGGGAGCGUUCUGUAAGCCUGUGAAGGUGGCCUGUGAGGGUUGCUGGAGGUAUCAGAAGUGCGAAUGCUGACAUAAGUAACGAUAAAGCGGGUGAAAAGCCCGCUCGCCGGAAGACCAAGGGUUCCUGUCCAACGUUAAUCGGGGCAGGGUGAGUCGACCCCUAAGGCGAGGCCGAAAGGCGUAGUCGAUGGGAAACGGGUUAAUAUUCCCGUACUUGGUGUUACUGCGAAGGGGGGACGGAGAAGGCUAUGUUGGCCGGGCGACGGUUGUCCCGGUUUAAGCGUGUAGGUGUGUGUUCCAGGUAAAUCCGGUUCACUUUAACACUGAGGCGUGAUGACGAGGCACUACGGUGCUGAAGCAACAAAUGCCCUGCUUCCAGGAAAAGCCUCUAAGCAUCAGGUAACAUCAAAUCGUACCCCAAACCGACACAGGUGGUCAGGUAGAGAAUACCAAGGCGCUUGAGAGAACUCGGGUGAAGGAACUAGGCAAAAUGGUGCCGUAACUUCGGGAGAAGGCACGCUGACAUGUAGGUGAAGUGAUUUACUCACGGAGCUGAAGUCAGUCGAAGAUACCAGCUGGCUGCAACUGUUUAUUAAAAACACAGCACUGUGCAAACACGAAAGUGGACGUAUACGGUGUGACGCCUGCCCGGUGCCGGAAGGUUAAUUGAUGGGGUCAGCGCAAGCGAAGCUCCUGAUCGAAGCCCCGGUAAACGGCGGCCGUAACUAUAACGGUCCUAAGGUAGCGAAAUUCCUUGUCGGGUAAGUUCCGACCUGCACGAAUGGCGUAAUGAUGGCCAGGCUGUCUCCACCCGAGACUCAGUGAAAUUGAACUCGCUGUGAAGAUGCAGUGUACCCGCGGCAAGACGGAAAGACCCCGUGAACCUUUACUAUAGCUUGACACUGAACAUUGAGCCUUGAUGUGUAGGAUAGGUGGGAGGCUUUGAAGUGUGGACGCCAGUCUGCAUGGAGCCGACCUUGAAAUACCACCCUUUAAUGUUUGAUGUUCUAACGUGGACCCGUGAUCCGGGUUGCGGACAGUGUCUGGUGGGUAGUUUGACUGGGGCGGUCUCCUCCUAAAGAGUAACGGAGGAGCACGAAGGUUGGCUAAUCCUGGUCGGACAUCAGGAGGUUAGUGCAAUGGCAUAAGCCAGCUUGACUGCGAGCGUGACGGCGCGAGCAGGUGCGAAAGCAGGUCAUAGUGAUCCGGUGGUUCUGAAUGGAAGGGCCAUCGCUCAACGGAUAAAAGGUACUCCGGGGAUAACAGGCUGAUACCGCCCAAGAGUUCAUAUCGACGGCGGUGUUUGGCACCUCGAUGUCGGCUCAUCACAUCCUGGGGCUGAAGUAGGUCCCAAGGGUAUGGCUGUUCGCCAUUUAAAGUGGUACGCGAGCUGGGUUUAGAACGUCGUGAGACAGUUCGGUCCCUAUCUGCCGUGGGCGCUGGAGAACUGAGGGGGGCUGCUCCUAGUACGAGAGGACCGGAGUGGACGCAUCACUGGUGUUCGGGUUGUCAUGCCAAUGGCACUGCCCGGUAGCUAAAUGCGGAAGAGAUAAGUGCUGAAAGCAUCUAAGCACGAAACUUGCCCCGAGAUGAGUUCUCCCUGAGACUUAGAGUCUCCUGAAGGAACGUUGAAGACGACGACGUUGAUAGGCCGGGUGUGUAAGCGCAGCGAUGCGUUGAGCUAACCGGUACUAAUGAACCGUGAGGCUUAACCUUACA
rnacentral:rRNA from 1 species